rnacentral:RNase_P_RNA from 1 species
UGGGUCGGCUGGACGGUCGCGUCACGGGUUCGCCCGUGCCGAGGAACGUCCGGGCUCCACAGGGCAGGACGGUGGGUAACGCCCACCCGGAGCAAUCCGCGAGACAGUGCCACAGAGAGCAGACCGCCUCGGCCCCUCGGGGUACGGGGUAAGGGUGAAAGGGUGGUGUAAGAGACCACCGGGGUCGUGGUGACACGACCCGCAAGGUAAACCUCGUCCGGAGCAAGGCCAGACAGGGGAUGCAGACGCGGCUCGCCGAGUCCCCGGGUAGGCCGCUGGAGCGGCACGGCAACGUGUCGCCGAGAGAGAUGACCGUCCACGGGGCUCACGCCCCCGGACAGAACCCGGCGUACAGGCCGGCCCAUUCG